rnacentral:rRNA from 1 species
UACGUAGGGGGCAAGCGUUGUCCGGAAUCAUUGGGCGUAAAGAGCGUGUAGGCGGUUCAGUAAGUCUGCUGUGAAAGUCCAGGGCUCAACCCUGGGAUGCCGGUGGAUACUGCUGGGCUAGAGUACGGAAGAGGCGAGUGGAAUUCCCGGUGUAGCGGUGAAAUGCGCAGAUAUCGGGAGGAACACCUAUUGCGAAGGCAGCUCGCUGGGACGGUACUGACGCUGAGACGCGAAAGCGUGGGGAGCGAACAGG